UACGGAGGGUGCUAGCGUUGUUCGGAAUUAUUGGGCGUAAAGCGCGCGCAGGCGGUCCCUUAAGUCUGAUGUGAAAGCCCACGGCUCAACCGUGGAGGGUCAUUGGAAACUGGGGGACUUGAGUACAGAAGAGGAAAGUGGAAUUCCACGUGUAGCGGUGAAAUGCGUAGAUAUCGGGAGGAACACCAGUGGCGAAGGCGGUUGCCUGGGGCUUUGCUGACGCUGAUGCGCGAAAGCGUGGGGAGCGAUCCGG
rnacentral:rRNA from 1 species